GCCUGAUGAGGCCUAAAAUUAGCAGGCUGUUUCCUACUCCUUUCAGGGGGACUGUAAAUACUUGGACCAGUAUAAUUAGGGCUGAACGGUAAAUUAUAUUUUUAUCUUUAUUUUAUUAUUAUUCUAAUAUGAGUUUUCACAAUAAACACGUCAGAAAAGAUGCGAUUAAAGAAGAGAAGAAUGUAAACCUCAAACUGCAUUACUUACAUGCAGCAACAGAGGGAGCUGUGAGGUACAUUUAAGCAGAGUGAGGUAGAGCAAGGUAGAGUGAAGUACAUGUAAGCAGAGUGUGGUAGAGCAAGGUAGAGGGAAGUACAUUUAAGCAGAGUGUGGUAGAGCAAGGUAGAGUGAAGUACAUGUAAGCAGAGUGUGGUAGAGCAAGGUAGAGUGAAGUACAUUUGAGCAGAGUGCGGUAGAGCAAGGUAGAGUGUAGUACAUUUAAGCAGAGUGAGGUAGAGCAAGGUAGAGUGAAGUACAUGUAAGCAGAGUGUGGUAGAGCAAGGUAGAGUGAAGUACAUGUAAGCAGAGUGCGGUAGAGCAAGGUAGAGUGAAGUACAUUUAAGCCGAGUGCGGUAGAGCAAGGUAGAGUGAAGUACAAUUAAGCAGAGUGUGAUAGAGCAACGUAGAGUGAGGUACAUUUAAGCAGAGUGUGGUAGAGCAAGGUAGAGUGAAGUACAUUUAAGCAGAGUGUGAUAGAGCAACGUAGAGUGAGGUACAUUUAAGCAGAGUGCGGUAGAGCAAGGUAGAGUGAAGUACAUGUAAGCAGAGUGUGGUAGAGCAAGGUAGAGUGAAGUACAUUUAAGCAGAGUGCGGUAGAGCAAGGUAGAGUGAAGUACAUUUAAGCAGAGUGCCGAAGAGCAAGGUAAAGUACAUUUAAGCAGAGUGCGGUAGAGCAAGGUAGAGUGAAGUACAUUUAAGCAGAGUGUGGUAGAGCAAGGUAGAGUGAAGUACAUUUAAGCAGAGUGCGGUAGAGCAAGGUAGAGUGAAGUACAUUUAAGCAGAGUGUGGUAGAGCAAGGUAGAGUGAAGUACAUUUAAGCAGAGUGCGGUAGAGCAAGGUAAAGUACAUUUAAGCAGAGUGCGGUAGAGCAAGGUAGAGUGAAGUACAUUUAAGCAGAGUGCGGUAGAGUGAAGUACAUUUAAGCAGAGUGUGGUAGAGCAAGGUAGAGUGAAGCAGUGCAAGAUAGAGGUAAGUACAAUGAAGCAGAGUUAGGUUCAGUGAGAGUGAGGUAGUGUGAGGCAGAGUAAGGUAAAGUGAGUGAGGUAGUGCAAGGUAUUUUAAGAUAAAGUGACUUGGAGGAAGUUAGAGUGAGGUACAGGGAGAGUGUACAGAGUGAGGUGUACUGAAACAACGUGAGGUAGAGUAAGGUAAAGUGAUGUUGGGCAAGGUAUUUUGAGAUGGAGGAAGUUAGAGUGAUGUAGAGGGAGACAAAGGAAGGUAUCGCAA